rnacentral:rRNA from 1 species
AGAGUUUGAUCCUGGCUCAGAUUGAACGCUGGCGGAAUGCUUUACACAUGCAAGUCGAACGGCAGCACGGGAGCUUGCUCCUGGUGGCGAGUGGCGAACGGGUGAGUAAUGCGUCGGAACGUACCGAGUAAUGGGGGAUAACGCAGCGAAAGUUGUGCUAAUACCGCAUACGCCCUGAGGGGGAAAGUGGGGGAUCGUAAGACCUCACGUUAUUCGAGCGGCCGACGUCUGAUUAGCUUGUUGGUGAGGUAAUGGCUCACCAAGGCGACGAUCAGUAGCGGGUCUGAGAGGAUGAUCCGCCACACUGGGACUGAGACACGGCCCAGACUCCUACGGGAGGCAGCAGUGGGGAAUUUUGGACGAAUGGGGGCAACCCUGAUCCAGCCAUUCCGCGUGAGUGAAGAAGGCCUUCGGGUUGUAAAGCUUCUUUCAGUUGGAAACGGAAACGGUACGCUUCUAAACAUAAGCGUGCGAAAUGUCGGACCGACAGAA